UACGUAGGGUGCGAGCGUUAAUCGGAAUUACUGGGCGUAAAGCGUGCGCAGGCGGUUUGCUAAGACCGAUGUGAAAUCCCCGGGCUUAACCUGGGAACUGCAUUGGUGACUGGCAGGCUAGAGUAUGGCAGAGGGGGGGUAGAAUUCCACGUGUAGCAGUGAAAUGCGUAGAGAUGUGGAGGAAUACCGAUGGCGAAGGCAGCCCCCUGGGCCAAUACUGACGCUCAUGCACGAAAGCGUGGGGGAGCAAACAGG
rnacentral:rRNA from 1 species